rnacentral:lncRNA from 1 species
AAAUUGGACUGUGCACCAACAGCAAAAGGUAAUAAAACUCAAUGUCAGUCACAUUUCCACUGACCUGCCGCAAAAGCAAAGAAUGAUUGCACAUCACGUCCGGGGUACAAGACAACAAACCAGUGGAUAAAUUUAGGGUCCAAAUCACUACGAACUGCCUUGAGAAGUCUGAAGACGUCUCCAUCACAAUGAUUUGAGCACAUGAGAAAAUCGCUAGACGAAACAGGGAAAACAUGGACACCAGACAGGUUGGAGAUAAGACAAGAGCGGAUAGGAACCAAGACUGAUUCAACAGCCAAGUGAGGAGAAAAUUGGUGGAAAAAAGGGUCACAGGAUGCAAAUGCAAAUCACACUUUCCUUGUCUACUUGCUGCUCCAGGGGACGGCAAUACUAUCCACUUGUCAAUUUUCUUUUCAGCAGAACAGACAUAUCCUUGUGGCUACUGACUAGGCCACGAAGAAACUUCUCACUAAUUGUUGGGGCACAGAGCCUUUCAACCUAGCACAUGUUGCACACGCACUGAAAGAGUAAUCAAAUUUCAGGACACAUAUUCUAAGCUGGAUUAACAUAAUUUCAUAUAUGAUCAUGUCUACUAGGUUAUGCAGUAUUAUUCCACUAAAACAACAGAAAUGUGCAUGAUUGAACCUCUGCACGUCAAUCAACAUUUUUAGUGUGAUGCUGAACGACAAAUAUGGAGAAUGUGGAGAUAAGGACAAUUACCUCCAGUUCAAAACUCCCAUAAUAAUAUCUGGCAUAUGUAGUGUGAUGCUGAACAAUAAAUAUGGAGAAUGUGGAGAUAUGGACAAUUACCUCCAGUUCAAAACUCCCUUAAUAAUAUCUGGAGGAAAAUUCCCUCCAAGCCAGCAGCUUCAUAAACUUGUCAUAAAGUGUUGACAUGGUCACUGCAAGGGAAGCACUGUUUCUUUGAUGUUUUUCAUAAUAUCCUAACUUAUGUUGUGCCACCUUCAUUUCAGC